rnacentral:rRNA from 1 species
GGGGAAUAUUGGGCAAUGGGGGGAAACCCUGACCCAGCAACGCCGCGUGAAGGAAGAAGGCCUUCGGGUUGUAAACUUCUGUGACAGGGACGAAGGAAGUGACGGUACCCUGAGAGGAAGCUCCGGCAAACUACGUGCCAGCAGCCGCGGUAAUACGUAGGGAGCGAGCGUUGUCCGGAAUUACUGGGCGUAAAGGGCGCGUAGGCGGUAGAUCAAGUCGCAUGUGAAAUACCCGGGCUCAACCUGGGGGGUGCAUGCGAAACUGGAAUACUUGAGUGCGGUAGAGGAAAGUGGAAUUCCUAGUGUAGCGGUGAAAUGCGUAGAUAUUAGGAGGAACAC